GUAUAAAAUGUGGGGAGCUGACAUUUUAGAGGGAGCGGCCAGGCGUGGGCACACAGGAGCAAAGACCUGGCAAAAGUGAGGGAGCACGGAGCCUGUAAAUAUCUGAGGAAAGAACCUUCUAGCAAAGGGAGCAGCCGCAUGCCAAGGCCCCUUCUCGGACAAGAGGCCAGUGUGGCUGGAGGAGGGGGAGGAAGUGGGCAGAGGGGGGACUGCAGUGGGAUGUGAGGUCAGAGAGGCGAGGGGGUGGCAGGCCCCCGUGUGGGCCACGCAAGGGACCUGGUUCCAGCCUGUCGGUUGCAAGCCAUGCAGGAGGUUGAGCAGGGGAGGGACGAGGCCUACUCAUGUUUUCAUGGGAUCGUCCCACUGCUGGGCGGAGGACGCUGAACAGGGAGGAGCUGCGCAGAGAGACCAGCAAGGAGGCUGCUGAGGUGAUCGGACCCGGAGGUGUGACAAAGCCACCGGAGGAUCAAAAGCUACGGAGUGACCUGAACAGCCUUGGAUGCAGGUGACACGUGUGCAAGGAGUUCAGGUCAACGAGCGUCAUGGUCAGGCCAGCGGGUCGUGGGGUCUGCUCAGCCGGGGUCUGAGUCCAGCUCUCACUGGUUAAAUUUAGUGGAUAAAUUGCUUCACCUUGCUAAGCCUCAGUUUUCUUCUCUGCGAAAUGGGCUGGUGGGGCCUCUGCACGGAUUACUUGAUGGGAAGCAUGUAAAGCUCUGAGCGGCUCACAGCCUGGCUCCCCCCACCGCCUUUCCUCCUCUUCCUCUCCCUCGCCUCUCUUUUCUGCCUUCUGAUGUGUGAAUAGGACUUGAAAGCCGGGGUGGCGGCCCUGUGAGGGUUGCUCUCUGCAUAACGAGCUUUCAUCCCCGUUGCCAUGACAGCUGUAAUGCUCUCCCCUCGGGAGCAGCCGAGGUCUAACAACUGCUGAAGAGGCCCCUUUAGAGCACGUUGAACACUCUAAAGAGAAUUUCCGCUCCCACAUCAGGGCACUUGACAAUCGUUUUCCUCCUCGAGACUCAGCUCCGAGGAGUGGUGUCCAGCUGUGGGAAGGGAUGCCGGGCUGGGUUCAGUCUUUAAUGAGAGCUAUCUGGGGUGUGGCACGACCUUCCCCCUCCAUCAUUCCUUGCUGUCUCCCAGGGAGGGAGCUGGUCCUGCUGACCGUCAGCCAAGGCCGGUGCUGGGAGGUCCCUGUGGGCACAGAACCUCCUUUUCAAAGGCUCUCUCUCUGGUGAGCAGCCAUCCACAUUUACAUGACAUUUGUUCAGGAGUGGCUCUUACCUGUGCAUCACUGUUGUUUAAACAUAAAUUUACCGCCCCCUCCUUUUAAGCACCAUAGUAGGCGUAGAUCUGAUAGCCUACCAGCAGAACUUUAGAUUGUCAUCUUAGGGCCAGUUGGUCCUCAGCCGCAUCACAAGCCAGAGGAAAGAACGAGGGUGUUUGGCCCCUGGGUAUAGGAAAUAGAUUUGAGCUUUCUAUCUAUGAGAUGCCCAAUGAAAAUUUCAGUUAUUUGAUAAUGCGAGACACGGUUCCCCAAAUUUCUUCCCUUUCUAAAACAGCACCAGUGAAACAUCAUUAACAUCGAGAAUGCUUAUUACAACGCUCUCGGUUGCAAAUGAUGGACUCUCAGCUCAAAUAAACAUAAGCAAAGGCCGUGUUUAGACUCAUAACUAAAAAGUCUGGGAGCUGGUCUGGCAUUAGCUGCACCUAGACCCAGAGUCUCAAUCUCUGUCUGUCUGUCUGUCUCUCUUCCCUCCUCCUCGUGGACUUUCCCCACGUGGCCAGUGUCGUGGCUGGCUGCCCAGAACCCACAUCCUCUCAGCCCCAUAACCCAAGUAGAAAGAGUGCCUUCCCGAGAACCUGGUGAGGAAUGUUCUGGAGAGAACCCUGAGAGGUCAGGCUGGGUCCAGCAUGAGUCAUGUCAGCUGGGAAGUGAGCUCUCUGAUGGAGAUGCCUGGGUUACGUCGUAAGCAAUAACAUCCGUUGAGUCACAAGCUUAAUAUGCUCAGUGUAUUUUUUAAAUGAAAUUUUUAUUUUAGAAUUGCUUUAGAUUUACAGAAAACUUGCAAAGAUAGGACAGAGUUCUCAGAUAUCCGCACCAGUUUCCCGUUAUUGACGUCUUACCGUAGCGCAGUGCGCUUGUCCAGUUAAUGGAUCAACACGGAUCCGUUAUUCCUAACUGAAGUCACUCUUGAGUCAGAUCUCUUUGGUUUUCCCCAGUGCCCUCUUUCUGUUGUAGGGUCCCAUCCAGGAAACCACUUUACGCUUGGUCACCACGUCUCCCGAGGCCCCUCUGUGCUUUGACUAUUUCUCACUCUUCUGGUUUUUGAUGCCCUUGCCGGUUUUGAGGAGUGCUGGUCAGCUGUUCUGUAGGAUGUCCCUCCACCGGGAUUGGCCCGAUGUUCUUCUCACAAUGAGACGGGUGUGGGUUUUGGGGAGGAAGAGCCCAGAAGUCAGGAGGCGUUUUCUUCACAUCAUGCUCUGGGUCUGUUCCGUCAACAUGGCCUAUCUGGCCUAUCACUGUCGGCGUUGACCUGGACCUCCUGACUCGGGGGUGUCUGCCAGGCUUCUCCCUGUAAAGCUACUCUUCACCCCCCUUCCCUCACGUGCUCUGUGGGAGGAAGUUGCCGUGCACAGCCCACACUAAGGAGAGGGCAGGUGUGCCCGCCUCCUCGAGGGCAGGCUAGCUGCAAGAAGUCUUCUGCCUGGGAAAUAUGUCUCCCCCCACUGUGUAUUUCUUUAUUCA
rnacentral:lncRNA from 1 species